GACGAACGCUGGCGGCGUGCUUAACACAUGCAAGUCGAACGGUGAAGGGGUCUGCUUUUGUGGGCCCUGGAUGAGUGGCGAACGGGUGAGUAACACGUGAGUAACCUGCCCCCUUCUUCUGGAUAACCGCAUGAAAGUGUGGCUAAUACGGGAUAUUCUGGGUCUGUCGCAUGAUGGGUCUGGGAAAGAUUGCGCCUUUGGGUGUUUGUGGUGGGGGAUGGGCUCGCGGCCUAUCAGCUUGGUGGUGGGGUGAUGGCCUACCAAGGCGGUGACGGGUAGCCGGCCUGAGAGGGUGGACGGUCACACUGGGACUGAGACACGGCCCAGACUCCUACGGGAGGCAGCAGUGGGGAAUAUUGCACAAUGGGCGCAAGCCUGAUGCAGCGACGCCGCGUGAGGGAUGGAGGCCUUCGGGUUGUAAACCUCUUUCGCCAGUGAAGCAGGCCUGCUCCUUGUGGGUGGGUUGACGGUAGCUGGAUAAGAAGCGCCGGCUAACUACGUG
rnacentral:rRNA from 1 species